GAUGAACGCUGGCGGCGUGCCUAAUACAUGCAAGUCGAGCGAACAGACGAGGAGCUUGCUCCUCUGACGUUAGCGGCGGACGGGUGAGUAACACGUGGAUAACCUACCUAUAAGACUGGGAUAACUUCGGGAAACCGGAGCUAAUACCGGAUAAUAUAUUGAACCGCAUGGUUCAAUAGUGAAAGACGGUUUUGCUGUCACUUAUAGAUGGAUCCGCGCCGCAUUAGCUAGUUGGUAAGGUAACGGCUUACCAAGGCGACGAUGCGUAGCCGACCUGAGAGGGUGAUCGGCCACACUGGAACUGAGACACGGUCCAGACUCCUACGGGAGGCAGCAGUAGGGAAUCUUCCGCAAUGGGUGAAAGCCUGACGGAGCAACGCCGCGUGAGUGAUGAAGGUCUUCGGAUCGUAAAACUCUGUUAUUAGGGAAGAACAAAUGUGUAAGUAACUACGCACGUCUUGACGGUACCUAAUCAGAAAGCCACGGCUAACUACGUG
rnacentral:rRNA from 1 species